rnacentral:lncRNA from 1 species
ACUUUUAUUUCUAUGAUGAAACUUAUUCUAAUUUCCAGCCCAAGAUUCUGGAACACAUCUCCCAUUAUGAAGUAAGCCUCAGGGUGGGAGUGGAAACAGAAUCUCUUGUUCACACUCCACACCCUCGUUUUCCAGCAGUGAAGGUAGACUAUUAAGGCUCUCAUGUCAUCAAGGAUCAAGGCAAUGGGAUAAUGGAGAUUCUAGACAUUUGUUUCCUCACCAGCGAAAAUUAAAUGAAGACUCAGAAAUCACUACAGCUACAGGGAUGAGAAGGACAUUUCAGCAGCUAGAGUGUGGUGUGGCCAGGAACAAAACAGGGAGUGUCUCCAAGGUAUACCUGUGUUUUGGAUAGAAACACCUAAUCAAGGAAAAUGUGGCUCACUGAGCUCAAAAAGAAGGCUCUGUGCAUGAAAUCAUGAAAACUACAUGGGGCGAUAACUUUAAUCAAAUCCCAAAGCUUAGAAUAUCCUGAAGAUGACCCAUCUCCACGUAUUUCCAAAAUUGGGAGAGCUUUUUUUAUGGAGUGAUUUAUUCCUAUAGCUAUUCAUAGAAAGGAGUCUGCUCCUUAAGGUACGUGACAACCUGCAUUCAUGCUUGAGAUCACUGGGACUCAGAUGUUCAUAAAGAUCUCUGAAACUUCUGAAUUCUUUUUCUCAUUUGUUGCCAUGUGAAUCAGUCAUCCACUCCGGAAG